UACGGGGGGGGCAAGCGUUGUUCGGAAUUACUGGGCGUAAAGGGCUCGUAGGCGGCCAACUAAGUCGGACGUGAAAUCCCUCGGCUUAACCGGGGAACUGCGUCCGAUACUGGUUGGCUUGAGUUUGGGAGAGGGAUGCGGAAUUCCAGGUGUAGCGGUGAAAUGCGUAGAUAUCUGGAGGAACACCGGUGGCGAAGGCGGGUCUCUGGGCAGUAACUGACGCUGAGGAGCGAAAGCGUGGGGAGCGAACAGG
rnacentral:rRNA from 1 species